GUGAGCAAAACUUCAGGUGCAU
rnacentral:miRNA from 1 species